rnacentral:rRNA from 1 species
GAUGAACGCUGACAGAAUGCUUAACACAUGCAAGUCAACUUGAAUUUGGGUUUUUAACUUAGGUUUGGGUGGCGGACGGGUGAGUAACGCGUAAAGAACUUGCCUCACAGCUAGGGACAACAUUUGGAAACGAAUGCUAAUACCUAAUAUUAUGAUAAUAGGGCAUCCUAUAAUUAUGAAAGCUAUAAGCGCUGUGAGAGAGCUUUGCGUCCCAUUAGCUAGUUGGAGAGGUAACGGCUCACCAAGGCGAUGAUGGGUGGCCGGCCUGAGAGGGUGAUCGGCCACAAGGGGACUGAGACACGGCCCUUACUCCUACGGGAGGCAGCAGUGGGGAAUAUUGGACAAUGGACCGAGAGUCUGAUCCAGCAAUUCUGUGUGCACGAUGAAGUUUUUCGGAAUGUAAAGUGCUUUCAGUUGGGAAGAAACAGAUGACGGUACCAACAGAAGAAGUGACGGCUAAAUACGUG